AGCUAGUUGGUGGGGUAAUGGCCCACCAAGGCUAUGACGGGUAGCUGGUCUGAGAGGACGGUCAGCCACACGGGGACUGAGACACGGCCCCGACUCCUACGGGAGGCAGCAGUCGAGAAUCUUCCCCAAUGGGCGAAAGCCUGAGGGAGCGACGCCGCGUGGGGGAUGAAGGCCUUCGGGUUGUAAACCCCUGUCAGGGGGAAUGAAUCUCCAAGCAAUUGGAGUGACAGUACUCCCAGAGGAAGUCACGGCUAACUCCGUGCCAGCAGCCGCGGUAAUACGGAGGUGGCAAGCGUUGCUCGGAAUUACUGGGCGUAAAGGGUGCGUAGGCGGCCAGGUAAGUCGUUCGUGAAAUCCUCCCGCUCAACGGGAGAAUUGCGGACGAACUGUCCCUCUGUAAGGGUCGGAAAAAGGAAAGGUGGAAUUCCCGGUGUAGCGGUGAAAUGCGUGGAUAUCGGGAGGAACACCAGUGGCGAANGGCGGCCUCCUGGCCCGGUCCUGACGCUGAGGCACGAAAGCUGGGGGAGCGAACAGGAUUAGAUACCCUGGUAGUCCCAGCCGUAAACGAUGGGCACUAGGUGUCUCUGAUGUAUUAUCGGGGGUGCCGGAGCUAACGCGUUAAGUGCCCCGCCUGGGGACUACGGCCGCAAGGCUGAAACUCAAAGGAAUUGACGGGGGCCCGUACAAGCGGUGGAGCACGUGGUUUAAUUCGAUGCUAACCGAAGAACCUUACCCGGGCUUGACAUGCAGGAAGUAUCUCUUCCGAAAGGAGGAGAGACCGGUAACCAGUCCGGUACCUGCACAGGUGUUGCAUGGCUGUCGUCAGCUCGUGCCGUGAGGUGUUGGGUUAAGUCCCGCAACGAGCGCAACCCCCGCCUUUAGUUGCCAUCAGGUCCUGAUUUUAUCGGGAUGCUGGGCACUCUAAGGGGACUGCCCCCGAUAAGGGGGAGGAAGGUGGGGCUGACGUCAAGUCGGUAUGGCCCUUAUGCCCGGGGCGACACACGUGCUACAAUGGCCGGUACAGAGGGUUGCCAACCCGCGAGGGGGAGCUAAUCCUAUAAAACCGGCCCCAGUUCGGAUCGCAGUCUGCAACUCGACUGCGUGAAGCUGGAAUCGCUAGUAAUCGCCGGUCAGCCAUACGGCGGUGAAUACGUUCCCGGGCCUUGUACACACCGCCCGUCA
rnacentral:rRNA from 1 species